rnacentral:lncRNA from 1 species
CUGAACAGUCCAGUCACCCUCGGCCCCACCCCGUGUCCUAAGGCAGCCAGCCGGCUGGGCCCUGAAUAGCACAGAGCUCUGGUGGUGAGGGAGAGUAACUUGUCUUGGCAGGAUGGGGAGAGAGAAUGACGCACAUCACAGCGAGUGGAAAUCUGAGAAACGACGGAAGACCCAUCCUGCAGGCUGGGGUGGCCAAGGUGAACCAGCAAAGGUGACUUGCCACAUGGGUCCAAGAGGCUGGCAUGGCUCCACGUUGGACACCAAAGGUUGGAGGGCUGGGAGCGGUGGGCCCCACCAGAACCUCCGGGACAGAGCCUCAGCUGAUGGUGGCAACGGAAGACCCAGUUUCCUGCUGAGCAGAAAGGCAGCUGGUAUGCUGUGAGCUAUCCUAGGGAGAGGCCACACCUGGCAAGGAACUGAGAGAGGCUUCAUGAGGAACUGAUUCCUGCCAACAACCACAUGAAGAAGCUCGAAGGGGAUCUGUCCCCAGUCAAGCCUUGAGAUGAGCCCACAGCCUCAGUCAAUACCUUAAUUACAGCCAUGUGAGAGACCCUGAGAGAGAGAACCCAACUAAGCUACACCAGGAUUCUGGAACCACAAGAAGG